rnacentral:lncRNA from 1 species
CGAGCACAGCAGUGUGGGGUCGACCUGGGACGUUGGAGCUUUGUGGCAGGAGAAGCGUCCACCAUUACUGAAGCUUGAGUAGGCGGUUUUCUCCCGGUUCCAUCAAAAGGGUCAAAGAUAGGUGACAGUGUUGGCUAGACAGUUAAUAAUUUCCAUUGCUGUCUUUACACAUCAUUCCUGGCUGGCCAUUGGCCUUUUAGAAAAAAAACAAAGCAGCCAACUGUCUAUGAGAAAUAUGCAUGUGCUUAUUCUAAUAGGUCUCAUGCUUAAACAACAUGAUGAUAAGCCAACUAAAUGUCUUAUUUUGAGAAGUGUCUGUUCAUAUCC